CCGGCGGGCGGGGAUCUCCCGGGCCGCGGUUGCUGGCUGGUCUGCUCGCUGAGGCCCCGCGUAAGACCAUGUACUGGCGCCGCGCAGCGCUGGUGGGGACUCGGCUCGUCCGGGUCAGGAGCAGCUCAGCGGGUCGGCUUGAGGGGCCAGCGGGAAUUUCGGGCUCCGGGAUGGGGAACAGCACAUCGUCAUCUUUGGGAAACGCAGCAACUGCUCCCGUGAAUCAGAUCCAAGAGACCAUUUCUAAUAAUUGUGUGGUGAUUUUCUCCAAAACAUCCUGUUCUUACUGUACAAUGGCAAAAAAACUUUUCCAUGACAUGAAUGUUAACUAUAAAGUGGUGGAAUUGGACAUGCUUGAAUACGGAAGUCAGUUUCAAGACGCACUUCACAAAAUGACUGGUGAAAGAACUGUACCACGAAUAUUUGUCAAUGGAACUUUUAUUGGAGGUGCAACUGACACUCAUAGGCUUCACAAAGAAGGGAAAUUGCUUCCACUAGUUCACCAGUGUCAUUUAAAAAAAAGUAAGAGGGAAGAACUUUAGUGAUCCUGCCAGGCUUCUCUGUCCAUGGAAUUCUCCAGGCAAGAAUACUGGAGUGGGUUGCCGUGCCCUCCUCCAGGGGAUCUUCCAUCGAACCUGCGUCUCUUAUGUCUAACCUGCAUUGACAGCGAGGGCUUCCCUGGUGGCUCUGUGGUAAAGAAUCCGUCUGCCAAUGCAGGCAACAAGGGUUCAAUCCCUUGGUGGGGAAGAUCCUCUGGAGAAGGAAAUGGCAACCCAUCCCAGUAUUCUUGCCUUGAAAAUUCCACGGACAGAGGAGUCUGGAUGACUAUAGUCCGAGGAAUCACAAGAGUCGGACAUGACUUAGCAACUAAACAAUAACAAUUGUUAUAACAACCCUAGAAGAGCGGUAGCAGGAUGGACACUUCCAGCAAAGGUCUCAUUAUCAGUGAAUACGAUGAAGACAUCGGCAGCUGUAUUUGUCUUUUGAGCCCAGAUCAUCGGAAGAGAGCAAUCAGUCUCACCUGCUGGGAUCUAACUCAGAAUAAAAACAUGGUUAAGAAUAAAAGAAAAUGCUCUCAUUUCCAUACUGAGAUGUCUGAAAUAAUUAAAUACUUAAAAAUACUAUUUUACACGUUAUCAUCUUGUUUAGCACCAAUGUAUAUGCCUUCUGAAAGCUUGUAAAUAUAUUUUUGAUUUUGUGCUCGUAAAAAAAACUGAGAUGUAACACAAUGUAUUCUCAUAUAUUGAUUAAUAUCAGGCAUGACAUCAAUACAAAAUUAUUAUAAAAUACAUGUUAAAUAAACUACAUGAAAUAGUUUCUUACCUGA